rnacentral:rRNA from 1 species
GAUUAACGCUGGCGGCGUGCAUAACACAUGCAAGUCGAACGAUGAAACUUAGUAGACUUCUUCGGCACGACACUAAGCGGAUUAGUGGCGAACGGGUUAGUAACGCGUUAGUAACCUGCCUUACACAAGGGGAUAGCCUUUGGAAACGAAGAAUAAUACCCUAUCAAACCAUAAAAGCGCAUGCUAGAGUGGUCAAAGUGAUAGCGGUGUAAGAUGGACUUGCGUCUGAUUAGCUAGUUGGCGAGAUAAACGAUCACCAAGGCAACGAUCAGUAGCCGGAGUGGGAGAGGGGACAGCCACAUUGGGAGUGGGACCAGGCCCAUACUGCCACGAGAGGGAGGAGUGGGGAAUGAUGGACAAUGGGGGAAACGCAGAUGCAGCGAGGGCGGGAGAUUUAGAAGGCCGUCGGGUUGUAAAAAUCUUUUGUAUAGGAAGAAAAUGACGGUACUAUAUGAAUAAGCUCCGGCUAAUUACGUG